rnacentral:rRNA from 1 species
CCUACGGGAGGCAGCAGUGAGGGAUAUUGGUCAAUGGACGAGAGUCUGAACCAGCCAAGUAGCGUGAAGGAUGACUGCCCUAUGGGUUGUAAACUUCUUUUAUAUGGGAAUAAAAUGUUCCACGUGUGGGAGUUGGUAUGUACCAUAUGAAUAAGGAUCGGCUAACUCCGUGCCAGCAGCCGCGGUAAUACGGAGGAUCCGAGCGUUAUCCGGAUUUAUUGGGUUUAAAGGGAGCGUAGGUGGAAUGUUAAGUCAGUUGUGAAAGUUUGCGGCUCAACCGCAGAAUUGCAGUUGAAACUGGCAGUCUUGAGUACAGUAGAGGUAGGCGGAAUUCGUGGUGUAGCGGUGAAAUGCGUAGAUAUCACGAAGAACUCCGAUUGCGAAGGCAGCCUACUGGACUGCAACUGACGCUGAGGCCCGAAAGCGUGGGUAGCAAACAGGAUUAGAUACCCGGGUAGUC